GACGAACGCUGGCGGCGUGCUUAACACAUGCAAGUCGAACGGUGAACCGGGCUUCGGCCUGGGGAUCAGUGGCGAACGGGUGCGUAACACGUGGGCAACCUGCCUCAGACACUGGGAUAACCCCGGGAACCGGGGCUAAUACCGGAUACUCCGACCGGACUGCAUGAUCCGGCCGGGAAAGCUCCGACGGUCUGAGAUGGGCCCGCGGCCUAUCAGCUUGUUGGUGGGUAACGGCCCACCAAGGCGACGACGGGAGCUGGUCUGAGAGGGCGACCGGCCACACUGGGACUGAGACACGGCCCAGACUCCUACGGGAGGGCAGCAGUGGGGAAUCUUGCGCAAUGGGCGAAAGCCUGAC
rnacentral:rRNA from 1 species